UUUUAAACACAAAUUAUAUUUUUUUCUUCAAAUUCGUUCUUCUUGUUCUUUCUCCCAACUUCCCAAUUCUUUCUCCCAACUUCCCAAUCGAAGAAAUCAAUUCGAAACCCUAAAUCCCUAAAUUCCUCCACUGUGAUGUCGCUCUCCUACUCCAACUUCUUCCUCGACGAUGAUCUCCUAUACAACGAGGAAACCUCCAGCAUCUUAUCCAGAGAUUUGCCGGCGGAAAGCUUCUCUUAUGUCGAUUUGUCUCCGCCGUCGGAGGAAGAGUUAUGCACAGGUCUCCGUGGUUAUCCCCAUCUUGAAACUUAAAAGGGCUACAAAGGUUGUAUUCUACUGUCAUUUUCCAGACUUGUUGCUGGCUCAACAUUCAACUUUCCUCCGGAGGAUGUACAGGAAACCAAACCAAUAGACUACGCAGAAGAAAUCACAACUGGUUUAACCUUGUAUCCCUUUUCUAUUUUUCUUUUAAGCACUAUUAUCUUCUCAUGUUUAUAUUGAAUCUUACAUCUUAUUAAGCAUUGCCGAAUUGCAUGAAUGGCCGAUUUGAUACUUGUUAACAGCAAAUGCACUGCAUCUACUUUUGCAAAUACUUUUAAGCAUCUAAAUGCUAAAGGAAUUUGACCAGUUGUCCUAUACCCAGCAGUCAACGUGGAUCAAUUCAAUGAACCCACUUCCUCUAAGUAAAUAACUUGCAUGUAGCUUAUUAUUAAAACCUUGUUUAUAGAGUCACAAUUUUGUGUUUUUUUAAUGCUUCUGUUGUAGGACAAACUUUCUUUCUAUUAACCGCUUUGAAAGAAAGAAGAACAUACAAUUAGCAAUAUCCGCUUCUGCUAUGCUUUACUCGCCCGACUAAGCUCUAAAACAUCGAGAUAUUACUAAUGCUUCUUUGACUGUUGCAGGUGAGCAUGUUUUUCUUUUGGCUUUGUACUUAUGAUCACAUUGAUAGAUAUUAUGGUGCCACUGCAUUAUAAAUUGUCAUGGAAGUGUCCAUCUCGAUGUUUGUGUCGGACUGAAUUUGGUACACCGUUGUCUUCAAGAUAUAAUCUAUUAAUGUUAACAAAAGUUAUAUUUGGUUUGUAGUUAAGUUUCACAAUUAUUCUAUACUCUAUUCCCACCAUUUCAAGAGACUUUGAUGUUUUGCAAAAUCUUCUCUAUCAUGAAAUUUUUGGGAAAAUUAUCUUGUGCCAUUUUUUGGUGCAAUCAUUUCCCAAUCAGAUGCAUUAGCAGGGCUUGUUUACAAAAGGAUCAAAUAUUCUGUGUUGUAAAUCAUGGGUCUUUAAUGAUUGUCACCAAGGUAAUUAAAGAGUUCAAAAAUCUAUUGUCAUAAAAUUUCCAAGUGGCUUUGAUAAACAGUUGAAGGAGAAUAUGGAGUACCUAGAAGAAGAGUUGAAAGAUUUAGCUGAAAAGGAAGAUCUUGCUCAACAGAUGAAAGGAAUGCUCUUCUUUCAGAAUGCCUGUGUGUCCUUUACACGCCAGAGGUAUGUGGAAUCUUGUUAAUUAUGAUUGUAGAAAAUUGAUAAAAUUUGAAAGCAGAAACAUAUUCUUUACAUAAUGCUACUUGAUACAAAAUAAGCACUUUGGCAUUGUUCCUUUGGAGGCAAUGGCAACUUAUAGACCUGUAAUUGUAUGUAAUAGUGGCGGCCCUGUGGAGUCUUUCAAGAAUGGUGUAACAGGUUUCCUUUGUGAUCCUUCGCCGCAAGAGUUUUCCUCGGCAAUAAGUUUAAUAAAAUUGUUCUUGCCUACCAAUUAGUAUUUUAAAAUUCUGCUUGUGUCAGUGUAUUGCCUAACCGACGCAUUAUGCUGUUUUUGUCUAUUGCAGAACUCUGAUGUUAAUGAAAUUUUACGAAAAACAUGCUUCUCAUCCGUCUUUGAUACAGAUUAAGCACUAACAAUACCAUCACAUGAUCAGAUUUUCUGGUUCGGAGAUUUGAACUAUCGGAUCAGCAUCUAAGCAACGAAAUGCGUGUUGGAUGCGUAUUUGAAGGAUAGAAAGAAGGGAUGAUAUAUUUCACAAAAGAAGGCAAGAAAAAAGAGCUCCUGCAUGGUAUGAUCGGAUAUUAUGGUUAGGAAAAGGAAUAAAGCAACUACAAUACGAACGUGCAGAAAUUAAGCUCUCGGAACGUGCUAAAUUCUACUAGUACUGAUGCAGUUCAUUCCCUAAAAAAGAUGGUCAAUUUUACUAGAACUAAAAUUAUAUAGGAGGAAGCCAAUGAGAUAGUGAUAAUAACAAGAAAUUGUAUAUAUAUAGGAAGAAGAUUUUGACAUUUUUUGUUUCUUUUUUCACAUUAAAAACCAUUAUUCAAUUUUGGCUCCAUCAUUAGUAUUGUGUUUUGGUUGUUUUGUUAUAAUUGUAACUUGUAACAAUAGACAAGUUCUAUGUAACUUAAUAUAUUGAUUUUUGUGGAA